AGUGAACGCUGGCGGUAGGCCUAACACAUGCAAGUCGAACGGCAGCACAGUAAGAGCUUGCUCUUACGGGUGGCGAGUGGCGGACGGGUGAGGAAUACAUCGGAAUCUACUUUUUCGUGGGGGAUAACGUAGGGAAACUUACGCUAAUACCGAAUACGACCUACGGGUGAAAGCAGGGGAUCUUCGGACCUUGCGCGAUUGAAUGAGCCGAUGUCGGAUUAGCUAGUUGGCGGGGUAAAGGCCCACCAAGGCGACGAUCCGUAGCUGGUCUGAGAGGAUGAUCAGCCACACUGGAACUGAGACACGGUCCAGACUCCUACGGGAGGCAGCAGUGGGGAAUAUUGGACAAUGGGCGCAAGCCUGAUCCAGCCAUACCGCGUGAGUGAAGAAGGCCUUCGGGUUGUAAAGCCCUUUUGUCGGGAAAGAAAAGCAGCAGGUUAAUACCCCGCUGUUCUGACGGUACCCAAAGAAUAAGCACCGGCUAACUUCGUG
rnacentral:rRNA from 1 species